GAUGAACGCUGGCGGCGUGCCUAAUACAUGCCAGUCGAGCGAACAGACGAGAAGCUUGCUUCACUGAUGUUAGCCGCGGAAGGGUGAGUAACAAGUGGAUAACCUACCUAUGAGAAUGGGAUAAAUUCGGGAAACCGGAGCUAAUACCGGAUAAUAUUAUGAACCGCAUGGCUCAAAAGUCGAUGACGCUCUUGCUGUCACUUAUAGAUGGAUCCGCGCUGCAUUAGCUAGUUGGUAAGGUAACGGCUUACCAAGGCAACGAUGCGUAGCCGACCUGAGAGGGUGAUCGGCCACACUGGAACUGAGACACGGUCCAGACUCCUACGGGAGGCAGCAGUAGGGAAUCUUCGGCAAUGGGCGCAAGCCUGACGGAGCAACGCCGCGUGAGUGAUGAAGGUCUUCGGAUCGUAAACCUCUGUUAUUAGGGAAGAACAGAUGUGUAAGUAACCGUGCAGAUCUUGACGGUACCUAAUCAGAAAGCAACGGCUAACUACAUG
rnacentral:rRNA from 1 species